rnacentral:rRNA from 1 species
UACGAAGGGGGCUAGCGUUGCUCGGAAUCACUGGGCGUAAAGGGCGCGUAGGCGGCCGAUUAAGUCGGGGGUGAAAGCCUGUGGCUCAACCACAGAAUUGCCUUCGAUACUGGUUGGCUUGAGACCGGAAGAGGACAGCGGAACUGCGAGUGUAGAGGUGAAAUUCGUAGAUAUUCGCAAGAACACCAGUGGCGAAGGCGGCUGUCUGGUCCGGUUCUGACGCUGAGGCGCGAAAGCGUGGGGAGCGAACAGG